AGGGCUGAAAAAACCCCGGCCCAAGGUAAAAAUACCACUUCUCAAGUGCCGGUGCAAAUAACAAGAGGCAGAGGGAGUGAAAAAAAUUACAUUCCCUAAGGCUCAUUGACAGUCUGGAAAUAGGUGGCAGGGAUUGAGGAAACCACACAAAGAGGUCAGAACUACUCACUGAAGCAAAUAGCGGGGUACCCUGUUUGUUUAAUAUAGAGAGGGAAAGAGAACUCCGCUUAAAUAACGUAAGCACACAACUCUACCUAGCAAGCUCUAACGCAAACCAUUACAAAAGAAAGGGAGCGCACAUUGCCUGAUCACACACACUGCGGAGUGACUUACCAUGCCACGCGAACGUGGGGAACUAAAGGGUGGCGGUUCUGCUCCUCUCCCUCUGACCCCCCUUUCCCCACGUCAGAACAACCAAAAGCCAAGGGAAGCUGAGUGCUGCUGAAGGAGCUAGAAGGGGCUGGCGUAGGAGAGCUUUCUGCAGAAGACGUGAAUCUAGCAGAGCGGCAGAGUGAGCGGGGAGCUGCACAGGUGCAAGCUCAGAGCAGUGGAGAAUCAUGCAACACGGGAGCGGGUUUUGGGGACGAGGAAGAUAGCUCACAGCAAGGAAGCAGAGAAACCGGUUUUCCCAACAGCCAAGAUAUGUUUCUCAUCCUGGACCUGGAGCCAGUAACCCCCAAACUCACCCAAGGUGUGCUCCUGGACCCCGAAGGUGGAGAAGGGACUUCUGCUACAAAUGUUUCUUCUUCGCAGAGGCUAGCAAAGAUUAGAAGGUGAAAAAUACGCACUCGGGAUGAAAUGUUCUCUGAGCUCCUGCUGUCCUCCCACACUGACAGAGCACAGUAGAAUGUAUGGAGGCAGACAAUGUCAGAGUGCAGGAAUGCACAAUAUGAACGCGAGGAGAGGUGGCGGGCUGAAGAUGAUAGGUGGUGUCAGCUGCUGACAGAAUGCAAGAGUUGAUGCUCAGGCUGGAAGAUCAAACUCAUAUGCUCCAGCGUAUGGUUGAGCUGCAGGAAAGGCAGCAGGAGCACAGACCACUGCUACAGCCCCUGUGUAACCAACAGCCCUCCUCCCC